rnacentral:rRNA from 1 species
GACGAACGCUGGCGGCGCGCUUAACACAUGCAAGUCGAACGGAAAGGCCUGCUUUCCCUUGUGGAUUGCGGGUACUCGAGUGGCGAACGGGUGAGUAACACGUGAGUAAUCUGCCCCCAACUUGGGUAUAAGCCUGGGAAACUGGGUCUAAUUCCCGAUAGGACUGCAGGGUGGUGCCUGUGGUGGAAAACGAUUUUCUAGUGGUUGGGGAUGAGCUCGCGGCCUAUCAGCUUGUUGGUGGGGUAAUGGCCUACCAAGGCGGCGACGGGUAGCCGGCCUGAGAGGGUGGACGGCCACACUGGGACUGAGACACGGCCCAGACUCCUACGGGAGGCAGCAGUGGGGAAGAUUGCAAAAUGGGCGGAAGCCUGAUGCAGCGACGCCGCGUGGGGGAUGACGGCCUUCGGGUUGUAAACUCCUUUCGACCGCGAGGAAGCCACCUGGUUGGAAGGGUGGUGACGGUAGUGGUAGAAGAAGCACCGGCUAACUACGUG